rnacentral:rRNA from 1 species
UGGUGGAGUGAUUUGUCUGGUUAAUUCCGAUAACGAACGAGACCUUAACCUGCUAACUAGUCCUACUCAUUUCAUGGGUAGUGACUUCUUAGAGGGACUAUGUGUUAAAAGCACAUGGAAGUUUGAGGCAAUAACA